GUGCUCAGUUCAACAGCACAUACACGCAAAAUGGAAAGGUACAUAGAAGAUGAACACGCACCCUACUCAAAGAUGACACGGAAAUUCACAAAGCAGUCCAUAUUUUA
ensembl:snRNA U6 U6 spliceosomal RNA